GCCCGAAAGGAAAUCACUGUUCGGCAAGCCGGUGUCCUGCGAGCAGGAACAAGGACGAAGACCCACAACGACCACCUGCGACGGCGAAUUAUUAAAGCAAAAAUGGUUGCUAUUGGAGGAGAUACUUUCGACAAAGCUAUAAAAAAAUUUUAUCAAUGAUCAUGACUGAUGAGUUGGCAGGCAAAUGUACUUGGAUCAUUAGAAAACCUGGCAAGAUCAAAAUUUCAAAUUACAAUUUCCCUAACAUAUAAUAAGUAUUUACAUCACCAAAAAUAUGGUACUACUUAUACAGUAGUAAAAAAACGGAUACAACUUUAGCUGCAAAAAUAUGGUGACCACAUAAAGCUUAAACAAGAACAAGCUCGAAAGGAUAAAGAACAAGACCAAAAAGAAUAUGAACAAGAACAACGGUUAUUAAAUAAUUAAAGAAAAACCAAGUUAGUUUAAAAUA